UUCAAUUCUUUUCUUCAUGGCCGUAUGUAGCAAGGGAACACCAUGGCUAGGGUUUGUUCAUCUUCCAAGCUUCAUGGUAAGUCCGUUCUAGCCCCGUUUUUCUUGUUCUUUGUAUUUUUCGCAUCCCGAUAACUUGCUUAAGCUAUCUCUACCAUUAAUUCGAGCUAGAAUUUAUGUCUGAAAAAUUACCCAUAGAUGAAAAGUGUGAAUUUUGAUGUUUCAUGAUAGAAUAUGAAGCUUAGAAUUAUGUUAAGCAACUUUUGCUAAGCGAUUUUGAGUGAAAACGAGUAAAACGACAUAAUCGAUAAAAAUACUAAAUGUUCAUAAGUAAGUGUUAGAGUUGGAAUUUGAUGUUUCUAUAGAAGGGAAAAAUGUUCAACAUGUCAUAAUACAUAAGAAUAAGGGAUGAAGUUUAAUUUACGAGCUUUGGGGCAAAAGUGUAAAUAUGUAAAAGUUUAGGGGCAAAAUUAUAAUUUUACCAAAGUUUGAGUCAAGGACUGUUUUGAUAAAUGUGAGUACUAAAUAAGUCAAAUGUGUUAUUAUAGAUCAAGAAAGAAGUGGAAUCGACCUUGACCGGAGAAAAGGAAAGAUUAAAGACUAAAUUGCUAAAUUUUUAUAUUAUUGCAUCAAAGUAAGUUACUUGUAAAUAAUAGUUAUAUUUUUAUAAAUUGUGAAUUAUAUUUGAUAUGUGAAUUAAUAUUGAAUGUGGAAGGAAAAUUGUUCAUGAAUUAUUCAAGUGAUAAAGUGUUUAAAAUAAAGUGUUAAGUGUAAAUUCCCGGUUGAACUUAGGAAUAGAAGUGGAUACAAGUGACAUGUCACUAGAGAUCAGUGUUACAGUGUUACAGUGAGUCCCGGGUGCUGGGUGAUCUAGCAUGUGUUGCAGACACCUGACAGCUUGUGUGAGCAGGCCCGUGGACAUUUCCAGUGUUAUUGAUCAGUGGUAGCUUCGGCUACGUAUCAGUGGUAGCUUCGGCUACGUAUCAGUGGUAGCUUCGGCUACAUAUCAGUGGUAGCUUUGGCUACGUAUCAGUGGUAGCUUCAGCUACGUAUCAGUGGUAGCUUCGGCUACAUAUCAGUGUGGCACUUAUGUGCUAAUUCUCUACGUAUCUAUGUAUAUUCCGAGUGUUCAACGGGAAAUUGACUAAGUGUAAUUGAAUAAUGAAUAUAGGUGUGGAACUGAAUUGAAUAUCGACUUAGAAAUGGAAAAGUGAAUUUUGAAUUGAAUUGUGAUUGAAAGUGAAAAAGUGAAAUUAUGAAAGAGUACAUUUAGCAACAAAACAGUUUAGAUAGCAACAGUUGUGUGACUUUGAAAAAUCACCAAAAAUGGUGGAAAUUUAAUUAGAGGCUGAAUAAUAUAUGAAAUUGAA
rnacentral:lncRNA from 1 species